rnacentral:tRNA from 1 species
GGGCAAUUACCCAAGCCUGGCUGAAGGGAACAGUCUUGAAAACUGUCAGGGGCUUCACGGCCCGCGUGGGUUCGAAUCCCUCAUUGCCCGCCA